GGAAAGUGGUGUAUCAUUACAACAUAAGAACGAAAUAUUAAAAUCAAGUGAAAAAGGCUUAACUCAUCAGAUGAAUACAAUCAGAAAUACUACACAGAGUCAACGUGGCCGGGUACUUGUAUAUCCCAUGCCACAACCAAAAAAAAUCACUAAGUUCAGAAUACACAUUUGAAAAAAAAGAAGAAAAACAAAACACAAUAAAGAUUUCAAAAUACAUACUCACUAUGACAAGAAAAAAUAAACAAACAAAUUAAUAAAUACGAGAAAACAGUAAAAGAAAAAUAAUACCCGACAAUUGACAAAAAUAAUCCCAGAUUUACUAACUCAAAGAAAGCAGUUUUUCAAUAAAACAUUUUGUUCAAAGCAAAAGUAGAAGCACAUACAACUCAAAGAUAUUGUGUUGUGCAAGUUAUUAUCUUUUUCUCAACAAAAAUUGUGCAAGUAAUUACUGAUACAAUUAUAUUGUAUGAAGUAAUAACCUGUACAAAAUAAGAAAAUGUACACGACAAAUACAAAAUGUACAUCCAAAGAGUAAAGAAUUAAAGAUUACUGAUGAAUUUAUUUAUACUUUUUGUAUUCAAUGUUAAUGACAAUUUAGCUCGCGUAAAUACGUUGUGUGUUUAGUCGUAUUUCACUUGGUAUUAAGUUUCACUGGUGUCAACGUGAUAAUCGUACAUUGUAACUGCAAAUACGAUCAUCCCAAUAUGGCGG
rnacentral:lncRNA from 1 species